rnacentral:rRNA from 1 species
CCCGAGCGUUGUCCGGAAUAAUGGGCGUAAAGCGAGCGCAAGCCGUUAGAAAAGUCUGAAGUGAAAGGCAGUGGCUCAACCAUUGUAGGCUUUGGAAACUGUUUAACUUGAGUGCAGAAGGGGAGAGUGGAAUUCCAUGUGUAGCGGUGAAAUGCGUAGAAUAUAUGGAGGAACACCGGUGGCGAAAGCGGCUCUCUAGUCUGUAACUGACGCUGAGGCUCGAAAGCGUGGGGAGCGAACAGGAUUAGAUACCCUGGUAGUCCACGCCGUAAACGAUGAGUGCUAGGUGUUAGGUCCUUUCCGGGACUUAGUGCCGCAGCUAACGCAUUAAGCACUCCGCCUGGGGAGUACGACCGCAAGGUUGAAACUCAAAGGAAUUGACGGGGGCCCGCACAAGCGGUGGAGCAUGUGGUUUAAUUCGAAGCAACGCGAAGAACCUUACCAGGUCUUGACAUCCCGAUGCUAUUUCUAGAGAUAGGAAGUUUCUUCGGAACAUCGGUGACAGGUGGUGCAUGGUUGUCGUCAGCUCGUGUCGUGAGAUGUUGGGUUAAGUCCCGCAACGAGCGCAACCCUUAUUGUUAGUUGCCAUCAUUGAGUUGGGCACUCUAGCGAGACUGCCGGUAAUAAACCGGAGGAAGGUGGGGAUGACGUCAAAUCAUCAUGCCCCUUAUGACCUGGGCUACACACGUGCUACAAUGGCUGGUACAACGAGUCGCAAGCCGGUGACGGCAAGCUAAUCUCUGAAAGCCAGUCUCAGUUCGGAUUGUAGGCUGCAACUCGCCUACAUGAAGUCGGAAUCGCUAGUAAUCGCGGAUCAGCACGCCGCGGUGAAUACGUUCCCGGGCCUUGUACACACCGCCCGUCACACCACGAGAGUUUGUAAC